CUCUCAAGCCAAUGUGGGAGCGCGGCGCACAGCUCAGUAACACGUGGCUAACCUGCCCUUGGGACGAGGACAACCCCGGGAAACUGGGGCUAAUCCCCGAUAGGUGAAGAACUCUGGAAUGAAUCUCCGCCCAAAAGGCGCUUACGUCAUGCUCGUAGGUGUUGCCCAAGGAUGGGGCCGCGUCCGAUCAGGUUGUUGGUGAGGCAACGGCUCACCAAGCCUUUUACCGGUGCGGGCCGUGGGAGCGGGAGCCCGGAGAUGGGCACUGAGACAAGGGCCCAGGCCCUACGGGGCGCAGCAGUCACGAAAACUUUGCAAUACACGAAAGUGUGACAGGGCUAUCCCGAGUGCCAUCCGCUGAGGAAGGCUUUUACCCAGUGUACAUAGCUGGGGGAAUAAGGAGAGGGCAAGACUGGUGUCAGCCGCCGCGGUAAUACCAGCUCUCCGAGUGGUGUGGAUGUUUAUU
rnacentral:rRNA from 1 species